GGGCAAGCAACGCUGCUGCUGCUGCUGCUGCUGCUGAGAACGUAUAAAUCCAAUUCAUUUAAUAAUUGCCAACGAGAUGGAGCUCAUUAUCACGAGUACUUUGCACGGCUUUGUCUGAGUCUACCCGGAGCAGGAGAGGGAGCUUAUGUGUGGGGAGGCUGUGCUGGUUGGAUGUGGUUGUUGCCGGUGUCUGUGUCUCCCCAGUAUUACUUAUAGAAAUACGUAUAUAAAUUAAGCAGAAAAUCAGUCAAACCAUCAACAGUUUGGGUUCGGCGAAUACCCUGUGUACCCUUGGGUGCAUUUUGCAUGGGUUCUACGGCGUAAAAAAUAUUAAAAUGUGACUGGAAAAGUUUUAAAUUAAAAUAUUAUAUAGGGCAAACCAUAAAUAUAGAUUCUUAACCAACUUGC
rnacentral:lncRNA from 1 species